AUACGUAGGGUGCAAGCGUUAAUCGGAAUUACUGGGCGUAAAGCGUGCGCAGGCGGUUUUGUAAGACAUAGGGGAAAUUCCCGGGCUCAACCUGGGAACUGCCUUUGUGACUGCAAGGCUAGAGUGCGGCAGAGGGGGAUGUAAAUCCGCGGGUAGCGGGGGAAUGCGUAGAUAUGCGGAGGAAAACCGAUGGCGAAGGCAAUCCCCUGUGCCUGUACUGACACUCAUGCUCGAAAGCGUGGGGAGCAAACAGGAUGAGAUCCCCUGGUAGUCCACGCCCUAAACGAUGUCAACUGGUUGUUGGGUCUUCAUUGACUCAGUAACGAAGCUAACGCGUGAAGUUGACCGCCUGGGGAGUACGGCCGCAAGGUUGAAACUCAAAUGAAUUGGCGGGG
rnacentral:rRNA from 1 species